rnacentral:rRNA from 1 species
ACCAGACUCCUACGGGAGGCAGCAGUGGGGGAUAUUGCACAAUGGGGGGAACCCUGAUGCAGCGACGCCGCGUGGGUGAAGAAGCGCCUCGGCGCGUAAAGCCCUGUCAGCAGGGAAGAAAAUGACGGUACCUGAAGAAGAAGCCCCGGCUAACUACGUGCCAGCAGCCGCGGUAAUACGUAGGGGGCAAGCGUUAUCCGGAUUUACUGGGUGUAAAGGGGGCGCAGACGGCGAUGCAAGCCAGGAGUGAAAGCCCGGGGCCCAACCCCGGGACUGCUCUUGGAACUGCGUGGCUGGAGUGCAGGAGGGGCAGGCGGAAUUCCUGGUGUAGCGGUGAAAUGCGUAGAUAUCAGGAGGAACACCGGUGGCGAAGGCGGCCUGCUGGACUGCAACUGACGUUGAGGCCCGAAAGCGUGGGGAGCAAACAGGAUUAGAUACCCCGGUAG